rnacentral:tRNA from 1 species
GCGCCAGUAGCUCAGUUGGAUAGAGCAACGGAUUUCUAAUCCGUAGGCCAGGGGUUCGAAUCCCUUCUGGCGUGCCA